UCCUGUGGCCUAUUGGUUAGAGCUUCCGCCUCGGAUGCGGAAGGUUGCAGGUUCGAACCCCGGCCAAGUCAA